UCUGGAAUCAAGGUCAAGUGCCUUAUUUAUAAGCACAACAGUCUUAGGAUCACCAUUGGAUUGUUUUUGGUACAAUAUAGGCCCUUCAAAUUCAGUCGCUAUUUAGACUUGCUUUGGCACCACUAGCUAUGGCGCUAGACUCGCAUUAAUUGGCAUUAAUUGCUGUCAAUAGAAUAUAAUGCUCCGGAAUCAUGUGAUCUGGCCCGAGUACAACUUUGUGGGUAGAGUGUUAGAGGCCCAGCGCCAUGGGCAUUGGUGUUGGUGCCAGUUGGAGCCGCUUACAACUAAAUAGGCCAUGUGUCGUCUUUUGAGUGUUCUUUUGUACAAUCAAUGGACUGAUUAGAAUCUGUUACAUUUUCGACUUCCUUUGGCACCCUUUCGAGGUUUGGGCUUUCUCGUAUGAUUGGCAAUUGAUUUGAUGUCUCUUCGAUGAAUCCGAGGGUGGCAUACCAACAUGUACUGACAUAUGACAUAUAAGUACCCACCAACAUGUGUCAGUCCGUAUUGACACGCGAUACAGGGUUGUACGUCCAGGUUGUUUCCAUGUUUGACUGUCAGUAACCUAGUACAGGUCUGAGGGGCAUGGCGUCGGGCCCUUCUCUCUCCAUUCGUGUCUCUUUUGUGCCCAUUUUCUCGUGGCGCCAUUGGGAAUUGCGCCGGUGCCACUGGCAGUGGCGCUAGAACCCUUCACUUUCGGCAUGCCUUCAACUUGGUACUGGGUUUUGAUUUUCCAUGUCUUGCUUUCCAGGGGAAUUCUUCAGAGUUGUAAGCUCUGUCAAUUGAUUUGGGGCUCAUGGGGGCUAGUUUACGGAUGGGUCAAGAUGAAUGAGAGUAAUUCAAGUACCGGGGUAGUUUGCCUGGGGUACUUUCGUUUGUCAUAAUUUUCUUGAUUGGGAUCGGGGUGUUUACACUAAUGCAUACAAAGCAAUAUGUGCCAGCAAACCCUAAAAUUCAAACAUAACCCCUAACCCCAGCUGUCUGAAUGUUUAGCUGUGGGUGAAUCACUCUCUCUCAGCAUUGGAGCUUUUGAUCUAAUGAAUAAGGAGACCUUUCAUUGGGUUAGUCUUCGUCUAUAUCUACAAUUUUUUGCUAAAUAUAAUUUUUAGGGAUGAUGUUUUUCCUAUAAUAUGUUGGUAACUCUUUUUUAAAUACAUUUGUUUUUGGAAUAUAUUGCGAAUAUGUUGGUGAAAUUUUUAAUAGAACUGUCGUGAAUUUCGUGCGGAAUCAUGAUUAUUGAUUUAAUCCCACUUUUUGGUAAGCUUGUCUCAAAACCUAAAUUCAAACAUUUUAAAUCAAUGUAGAGAAGGAGGAAAAAUGAGAACAUUAAACAAGGAAGCAGUUUUUUUAGGAAUUUCUUUUGAGAAAAAAGAUAAAAUACGCGUCAAUAUCAUUUCUAUAAAUGUGAUUUUUAAAGACCUUUUUGAUAAAAUCGGAGUUUUUAUUGAAUUUUAAAAAAUUGGAGAGUUUUUAAAAACUUGGGUUUUGAUUGGAGACUUGCUAACUAUUAUUGAGCUUAAGGUUAUGUUUUUG
rnacentral:lncRNA from 1 species